CAGUAGCUCAACGGAUAGAGCAGCUGACUACGGAUCAGCAGGUUGGGGGUUCGAAUCCCUUCUGGC
rnacentral:tRNA from 1 species